UACGAAGGGGGCUAGCGUUGUUCGGAAUUACUGGGCGUAAAGCGCAUGUAGGCGGCGAUUUAAGUCGGGGGUGAAAUCCCAGGGCUCAACCCUGGAACUGCCUUCGAUACUAUUUUGCUAGAGGAUGGAAGAGGUAGGUGGAACUGCGAGUGUAGAGGUGAAAUUCGUAGAUAUUCGCAAGAACACCAGUGGCGAAGGCGGCCUACUGGUCCAUCACUGACGCUGAGAUGCGAAAGCGUGGGGAGCAAACAGG
rnacentral:rRNA from 1 species